CACUGUUAGAUAUCGCUGUAGAUUUAGCAGCACUGUACUGUAAAAAUCCACAGUACUAUACUGUAUGUGUACAUUACAGUAAAGUACUGCAGUUCAUAGUGCAUUCUGGGUAAAUUUGUUUGAGCGGGAAAAUUUUACAGUAUAUUUUGGUCUUGAUGUAACCUUGCUGUAGCCAUUGCUGUAAUGUGCCAGGUGUACUUGCAAUAAUCAGAGAAAGUGCGCACGAGUCAAAUCACACAGAGGGAGAGAGAGCACAACUCCUGGCUGCAGCUGAAGGAGGACGAUUGAUUUCUGGCAGUUCGCUCUAACGUUACAGUUUGCUCCACUUUGCUCUGUGGUUUAUAUGUUUUCUUCUUACCAUUGCUUGUAAGCUGGAUUGAGUAAGAUGGAUCAUCUUUAAAGGAACCAGGAGUUAAGGCAGAUGUGGAGGCACACGGGUGACACCAGACACACACCAAGCACAUUGUUCGGACAUUCAAUCAUGACAGGAUCCAUGUGGAUGCUGUCCAUUGAGGAAAGAGUUUGUUCAGAGGUUUCUGGACAGAAUUAAUCCCAAAGAUGGGAAAAAGUGCACAUCCACACAAGGAGCAAGCAAAAAGACAAGGAACUUGGUGCAGAGAAAAGCUGUGGCCAUUAACCCCCAUGUGAACAGCUUCAUGCAGUCCCUGAU